ACCUGACUGCUAUCGGAUUGAUACUAAGCCAUGCGAGUCAUUGUAGCAAUACAAGGCAUACGGCUCAGUAACGCGUAGUCAACCUAACCUAUGGGCGGGAAUAACCUCGGGAAACUGAGAAUAAUGCCCGAUAGAACAUUAUACCUGGAAUGGUUUAUGUUCCAAAUGAUUUAUCGCCAUAGGAUGGGACUGCGGCCUAUCAGUUUGUUGGUGAGGUAAUGGCCCACCAAGACUAUUACAGGUACGGGCUCUGAGAGGAGUAGCCCGGAGAUGGGUACUGAGACACGGACCCAGGCCCUAUGGGGCGCAGCAGGCGAGAAAACUUUGCAAUGUGCGAAAGCACGACAAGGUUAAUCCGAGUGAUUUCUGCUAAAGAGAUCUUUUGUUAGUCCUAGAAACACUAACGAAUAAGGGGUGGGCAAGUUCUGGUGUCAGCCGCCGCGGUAAAACCAGCACCUCAAGUGGUCAGGAUGAUUAUUGGGCCUAAAGCAUCCGUAGCCGGCUCUGUAAGUUUUCGGUUAAAUCUGUACGCUCAACGUACAGGCUGCCGGGAAUACUGCAGAACUAGGGAGUGGGAGAGGUAGACGGUACUCGGUAGGAAGUGGUAAAAUGCUUUGAUCUAUCGAUGACCACCUGUGGCGAAGGCGGUCUACCAGAACACGUCCGACGGUGAGGGAUGAAAGCUGGGGGAGCAAACCGGAUUAGAUACCCGGGUAGUCCCAGCUGUAAACUAUGCAAACUCAGUGAUGCAUUGGCUUGUGGCCAAUGCAGUGCUGCAGGGAAGCCGUUAAGUUUGCCGCCUGGGAAGUACGUACGCAAGUAUGAAACUUAAAGGAAUUGGCGGGGGAGCACCACAAGGGGUGAAGCCUGCGGUUC
rnacentral:rRNA from 1 species